GACGAACGCUGGCGGCGUGCUUAACACAUGCAAGUCGAACGGAAAGGCCCUGCUUUUGUGGGGUGCUCGAGUGGCGAACGGGUGUGUAUCACGUGAGUAACCUGCCCUUUACUUUGGGAUAACUUCAGGAAACUGGGGCGCAUACCGGAUAUGAACUCCUUCUGCAUGGUGGUGGUUGGAAAGAUUCGGCGGUUGGGGAUGUACUCGCGGCUUAUCAGCUUGUUGGUGGGGUAGUGGCUUACCAAGGCACUGACGGGUAGCCGGCCUGAGAGGGUGACCGGCCACAUUGGGACUGAGAUGCGGCCCAGACUCAUACGGGAGGCAGCAGUGGAGAAUAUUGCACGAUGGGCGGAAUCCUGAUGCAGGAAUGCCGCAUGCGGGAUGACGGCCUUCGGGGUGUAACCCGCGUUCGCCUGGGACGAAGCGUGAGUGACGGUAAUGGGUAAAGAAGCACCGGCUAACUACGUG
rnacentral:rRNA from 1 species